rnacentral:rRNA from 1 species
AUUGAACGCUGGCGGCAGGCCUAACACAUGCAAGUCGAACGAGUGGCGGACGGGUGCGUAAUGUCUGGGAAACUGCCUGAUGGAGGGGGAUAACUACUGGCAACGGUAGCUAAUACCUCAUACCAUCAGAUGUGCCCAGUGGGGAUUAGCUUGUUGGUGGGGUAACGGCUCACCAGGGCGACGAUCCCUAGCUGGUCUGAGAGGAUGACGGGCCACACGGGAAAUGAGACACGGCCAAGACUCCUAGGGGAGGCAGCAGGGGGGAAUAUUGCACAAUGGGCGCAAGCCUGAUGCAGCCAGGCCGCGUGUAUGAAGAAGGCCUUCGGGUUGUAAAGUACUUUCAGAGGGGAGGCGUUACCCGCAGAAGAAGCACCGGCUAACUCCGUGCCAGCAGCCGCGGUAAUAC